rnacentral:rRNA from 1 species
UACGUAGGAGACGAGCGUUGUCCGGAGUUACUGGGCGUAAAGGGUGCGCAGGUGGCGGCGCGCGUGGGGGGUGAAAUCGCCCGGCUUAACUGGGCGGGGGCCUUCCAGACGGCGUGGCUUGAGCAGCGGAGGGGGACGUGGAAUUCCGGGUGGAGCGGUGAAAUGCGUAGAGAUCCGGAGGAACACCGACGGCGCAGGCAGCUACCUGGACCAGCACUGACACUGAGGCACGAAAGCGUGGGGAGCAAACAGG